UGGCGGACGGGUGAGUAAUGUCUGGGAAACUGCCUGAUGGAGGGGGAUAACUACUGGAAACGGUAGCUAAUACCGCAUAACGUCGCAAGACCAAAGAGGGGGACCUUCGGGCCUCUUGCCAUCGGAUGUGCCCAGAUGGGAUUAGCUAGUAGGUGGGGUAACGGCCCACCUAGGCGACGACCCCUAGCUGGUCUGAGAGGAUGACCAGCCACACUGGAACUGAGACACGGUCCAG
rnacentral:rRNA from 1 species